UGUUUUCGAAAUGGAAAACUGAAGAAGAUAUUUGUAGAAGGAACAAAAUAUAUGACUUCCAGAACAUUGUCUUAGAACUUCACUAGAUAAUUUUCGAUCUAUGCCAUUCUUUGGUAUCCUCACAAUGGCCACUCUGAUGAUACUCUGUCAGAAGUAGCUACUCUACAAAGAAAGGAGUAGAGUCACUCGAUGAAGAAUAGGGAUGGGUCACCUUGAGGUUAACUAGGGCCUGCAGGAUAUGGUGUUGUCUAUGGCAAUCACAGGUAUGUAUCUUUCAAGGUAUAUGUAGGUUUAGACGAGUACAAUCUACUUUGCAGAAUGCGUAGUCAUCUUGAAAGUUAUGGAAGUUAAGACAGCAAUUUUUUUUCUGCAGAUCAGGUGUCAAGAUACGCGGCAGGGCAUAAUGAUUUAUAAACAAGUUGUAAUUGAUAGGAGGCUCCCCUGGCUUGCCAUGUAAAAGAUCCUUAAUCUAGUCUAUUUACAUUCGAUGAAAUGUUAUUUUGCUUUUAUAUGCCAAAGAAAAAUUCUGUUUAACUUGUAC
rnacentral:lncRNA from 1 species